UACAGAAGGUGCGAGCGUUGUUCGGAAUUAUUGGGCGUAAAGGGCGCGUAGGCGGUGCGGUAAGUCACCUGUGAAAUCUCCUGGCUCAACUGGGAGCUUGCAGGCGAAACUGCCGUGCUGGAGUGUGGGAGAGGUGAGUGGAAUUCCCGGUGUAGCGGUGAAAUGCGUAGAUAUCAGGAGGAACACCGGUGGUGUAGACGGCUCUCUGGACCGUAACUGACGCUGAGGCACGAAAGCGUGGGUAGCAAACAGG
rnacentral:rRNA from 1 species